AGAUCCCUUUGGGCUGGUGAGCUGGUGGAGCUUCCCCUGGCUGCAGUCAGCGAUGGUGUGGUGUGGGAAAUGUGCCUCGGCCUCGCCUUGCUUUGCUGCCCACGUACUGCAGUUUGCCAGAAAACUAGGUCUCAUGGCUCUUUUUUUCCUGGAAGUCUUUGACCAGAAGCGGCCAUGUAGAACAUGGAUCUGACAUGGCCUAACCAAGAGGGGAAAGCAAGGGUGACCAAGAAGCAAAAA